AGUGAACGCUGGCGGUAGGCCUAACACAUGCAAGUCGAACGGCAGCACAGUAAGAGCUUGCUCUUACGGGUGGCGAGUGGCGGACGGGUGAGGAAUACAUCGGAAUCUACUUUUUCGUGGGGGAUAACGUAGGGAAACUUACGCUAAUACCGCAUACGACCUACGGGUGAAAGCAGGGGAUCUUCGGACCUUGCGCGAUUGAAUGAGCCGAUGUCGGAUUAGCUAGUUGGCGGGGUAAAGGCCCACCAAGGCGACGAUCCGUAGCUGGUCUGAGAGGAUGAUCAGCCACACUGGAACUGAGACACGGUCCAGACUCCUACGGGAGGCAGCAGUGGGGAAUAUUGGACAAUGGGCGCAAGCCUGAUCCAGCCAUACCGCGUGGGUGAAGAAGGCCUUCGGGUUGUAAAGCCCUUUUGUUGGGAAAGAAAAGAAGCAGGUUAAUCCCCCGCUGUUUUGACGGUACCCAAAGAAUAAGCAACGGCUAACUUCGUG
rnacentral:rRNA from 1 species